GUCUGUUUGUAGAUAUAAACAGUCUAGCCUGCCCACUGAUGUAUAUUAAAGGGCCGCGGUAUUCUGACCGUGCAAAGGUAGCAUAAUCGUUAGUUUCUUAAUUGGGAUCUUGUAUGAAUGGUUGGACAAAAGAAAACCUGUCUCUAUAGUUAGUAUUGAAUUUAACUUUUAAGUGAAAAGGCUUAAAUAUAUUAAAGGGACGAUAAGACCUUAUAAAGCUUGAUAUUCUCUAAUAUUAGAUUAAAUUUUUAAGUUUAUAAAAAUCUGUUAUCAAAAGUUUAUUGUAUUGGGGCGAUAGAAGUAAAAUGAUUAUUAACUGCUUUAGUUUAAGACAAAAUUAAAUUAUUAAAUAAUUAAGAUCCUAAAUAAAGAUUAAAAGAUUAAGUUACUUUAGGGAUAACAGCGUAAUUUUUUUUGAGAGUUCUUAUCGAAAAAAAAGUUUGCGACCUCGAUGUUGAAUUAAAAUAACUUUACAGAAGUUGUAAAAGAAGGUCUGUUCGACCUUUAAAUUUUUACAUGAUYUGAGUUCAGACCGUCGUGAG
rnacentral:rRNA from 1 species